AAAAAUGUAAGAAGAAAAACAAUAAAUGGUACCUGGAAAGGAAAUGAAGUGAGGAAACAUUUAGAAACAAGUGAAAUGCGAAGAUAAUAGUGAAUCAAAGAACACAUAACUUAUAUAGAAAGAGAAGAUGGUGAAAUCAAAAUUCAUUGAAGCUCAGAGAAUAAGAGAAUAACUUAUAUAGAGAAAAGUUAAUUUUAGUUUGCAAGAAAGAGCGAAAAUUGUUUAAAAGAUCAAAG
rnacentral:lncRNA from 1 species